GCGUCCGUAGCUCAGUUGGUUAGAGCACCACCUUGACAUGGUGGGGUCGGUGGUUCGAGUCCACUCGGACGCACCA
rnacentral:tRNA from 6 species